GCUGUGUUCUGACUGUGGUUGCUUGUCUCUCAUUUAUAGGUGUACUUACUACGUACGACCUCAGUAACGUAGAUGUAAUGGGAUUAUACGAUCACUGUCUGGACUGUAUCCUCAUUACUUACAUCAGUCGCUGCUAGACCGUCUGGGUGUCUGGUAGAGCGAAUGAGGGUACAUUUACGCUGUUUGUGUGUUUGUUUGUGUGGCUUAGCAUCUAGUUGUCUAUGGCUAAAUCAAAAUGUGCUCACAUUGCAUCCGUGCGCAGUGUCAUUGAGAUGGGAGCUGCACAGGGCUCCAAGGACAUAUGCAGGAUAAUCAGCUCUGUGAUGGUAAUCGCACAUGCUUCCGUCUCCAUACUGCCCUUCAACAGACACAUCAUAGCUCCGCUGCUCUCUGAUUACCCUGCUUUCUGGGCGUGCAGGUCAUUAGGAUGUUCGUCUUGUCUUGUCAGGAUCUUACCAGCAUGUUUCCUGUCUCCCUGCUGUCUCAAGUUCUGCUCCCCCGGUUCUGACCAUUCUGCCUGCCCUGACCCCGAGCCUGCCUGCCAUUCUGUACCUGCCUGACUCUGACCUGUUUACGAACCUGCCUGUCC
rnacentral:lncRNA from 1 species